AUUCCAGCUCCAAUAGCGUAUAUUAAAGUUGUUGCAGUUAAAAAGCUCGUAGUUGGAUUUCUGGUAGGAGCGACCGUGCCGAACUUGAUUGUUCGUGUAUUGUGUUGUCUUCAGCCAUCCUCGUGGAGAACUUUUCUAACAUUAACUUGUUGGGAUUGGGACCCGCGUCGUUUACUGUGAAAAAAUUAGAGUGUUUAAAGCAGGCAUUAGCUUGAAUACAUUAGCAUGGAAUAAUAAGAUAGGACUUUGGUACUAUUUUGUUGGUUGGAGAUCAAGGUAAUGAUUAAUAGGGAUAGUUGGGGGUAUUCAUAUUUAAUUGUCAGAGGUGAAAUUCUUGGAUUUAUGAAAGAUGAACUCAUGCGAAAGCAUUUACCAAGGAUGUUUUCAUUG
rnacentral:rRNA from 1 species